AUUGAACGCUGGCGGCAGGCCUAACACAUGCAAGUCGAGCGGAUGAAGGGAGCUUGCUCCUGGAUUCAGCGGCGGACGGGUGAGUAAUGCCUAGGAAUCUGCCUGGUAUUGGGGGAUAACGUCCGGAAACGGGCGCUAAUACCGCAUACGUCCUGAUGGUGAAAGUGGGGGAUCUUCGGACCUCACGCUAUCAGAUGAGCCUAGGUCGGAUUAGCUAGUUGGUGUGGUAAAGGCCUACCAAGGCGACGAUCCGUAACUGGUCUGAGAGGAUGAUCAGUCACACUGGAACUGAGACACGGUCCAGACUCCUACGGGAGGCAGCAGUGGGGAAUAUUGGGCAAUGGGCGAAAGCCUGAUCCAGCCAUGCCGCGUGUGUGAAGAAGGUCUUCGGAUUGUAAAGCACUUUAAGUUGGGAGGAAGGGCAGUAAGUUAAUACCUUGCUGUUUUGACGUUACCAACAGAAUAAGCACCGGCUAACUUCGUG
rnacentral:rRNA from 1 species